AGCGAUACUGACGUGCAAAUCGUUCGUCUGACUUGGGUAUAGGGGCGAAAGACUAAUCGAACCAUCUAGUAGCUGGUUCCCUCCGAAGUUUCCCUCAGGAUAGUUGGAGCCCAUUACGAGUUCUAUCAGGUAAAGCCAAUGAUUAGAGGCAUUGGGGACGCAACGUCCUCGACCUAUUCUCAAACUUUAAAUAGGUAGGAUGGCUCGGCUG
rnacentral:ncRNA from 1 species